GCCCUUAUGGUGUAGCGGUAGCACAUUCGGCAUGUAUUCGAGAGGUCCAGGUUUGAGUCCCAGAGAGGGCA
rnacentral:tRNA from 1 species